rnacentral:lncRNA from 1 species
GAUUCCCUACGUCUUACGCGCCUUACAGGUGUCCUACUUCGGCUACGGCUACGACUACCACUCCGGCUCCAGCUGCGGCUGAAGCUUCGCCUCCGGCCAUACCUUUUUCCCCUGCUACGGUCACCAUCUCUUCUGCUAUCUAAUCUAGAUUCCCAGCGCCUAUCACACCUUACAGGUGUACGGCUUUGGCUCCGCCUGGAGCUAAGACUGCGUGACCAGCUACGGCUACGGCUACGGCUACGACUACCACUCCUGCUCCAGCUAUAGCUUCUUCCCCUGCUACGAUCACUGUUUCUUCUGUUAUCAAAUCUACAUUCCCAGCGUCUUCCACCCCUUACAGGUGUGCGGCUUCAGUUUCGGCUCCGCCUGGGGCUACGGCUGUGUGACCAGCUACGGCCACUGCUCCAGCUUCUACCCUGGCUAUAGCUUCUUCCUAGACUUCUUUCACGCCUUACAGGUGUGUGACUUCGACUCCGUGACCAGCUACGGCUACGACUACUGCUACGGCUGUACAUCCUACUCCAGCUUCUACUUCGGCUGCGGCUACGACUAUAGCUUCUUCCCCUGCUACGGUCACCAUCUCUAC